UAAGCCUUUAAAUUCUCUGCUUCUAAGAUUUAUGAGUUCUUCUGUAAUGCACCCUGCUGUGUCCUUUGUUACAAUCUGUAUCUUCAGCAGGUGGUUAAUGGUGACCCACUCACAUGAUCGUUAAUUAUACUUUUUUACUGCAUUAGAUGAAUUGCAUGAAAAUUCACAUACUAAAUUGCAGUUGACUCUGACCUAGUUAACAAGUGCCAGAGAUGUCUUGCUUAAUCUGUUUUUGAGAAGAAGUUCGCCUGACUUUUUAUAAAAAGCUUCUGUAAUUUUGUUGUUUGUUGCUGUUUGGUUUCUAAUUCAUCUGUGGCAAUUGGAUCUUCUGAAAGAUACUCAAUGAAUUACCAAUUCUCUGGAACUGUGUUGCCUUCUGAUUCAAUCACACAGAAUAAUAUGACCCAUUGCUCUUAUUUGUGUCAAUUUUAUUGCACAGUAUUAUGUCAUGAACAUGGUUUGUGGUUGAAAAGGGAAUUGUAUUGCUAUGCUACGGUAGUGGGGAAAAAAUUAAGAGAUAAAUCAUGAACAUCCCUUGCUAUGGUCUAAUAGCCAUCCUAAUAGUCUUGUUCUAUAUUUACAUGUAAAAGCUAAUUUAAGAGGCAAUAUUUUCUGAAAAAAAAUAUUAUCUACAUCAGGAUGUUGUUAUAACUUGAAUAAUCUGCAAAUUAUAUAAGUUGGUUGUCUACCAUACAUCUAGUCAAUUCAGUGCAAUUAGUAAGAGCCUUGACUGGGGAACAUAAGUAGCCAUUGUUUUUAGUGUUCAGGUAGCCUUUUGUACCUCAUAAAAUAGUAUUUUUCCAUUAAGUGAGUUUUCCACCUUUUUUUGCAGUGGUGGGCAUUACUGUUUAAGGGCUUUUCACCAAAAUGUUUUUGUAUAAAAGAGAGAUUAAAAAAAAACCCAACACUUUAAAUUAGAACAACUCCCCUAGAAGUAUGGUUUAAGAGGAGGAACAGAAAUAUUAUUAUUAUUUAUCCUGAACUUGGAACUUGAAUAUAAGUAUAAAUUGUGGUAGUUUUAUUCUUACUCUAAGCUGCAAGAUGCUACCUAAUGCAAGCAAUAGCUUGAUAUUCUGCUUCACUACUGAUUUUGUGUUAAGUUUGAAAGUUUUAUGAAGAAAAGCUACAUACUGAUUCCACAACUACUGAAACAGUUAAUUACCUUGAAAUACACAAUACACUCAUUCUUCUUUAUUCUGAGUAGUAUAUAUAUGUGUGUGUAUAUAUAUACACUAGGCAGCACUUAUUGUUAGCUUACGAUUUGUUAAUUUUGUGCUUUAUUUUAUAUACCAUUUUCACUGACUGCUCAAAGUAAACAGUGGAGACAUUUUGCAUAUUUCCCUCCCAGGACUUUUAUUUUAAUGUAUCAUUUUUUACUUUAUUACCAGUCAGUGUGGUAUCAUAUGCAUAGCAAGCUGUAACUCUGAUAAGCUAUGUCAAAGCCCCACUGUGCUAGAUCCUAUCUUUAUGACAUUAUUGGAACUAAUGCACUCCAGAAAUAAUCGUGAGGAGUUAAAAAUGCUAUCCAGGAAGACACUGUGACAUGCAGCUAUCUAAAGAAAUUAUCUUCAGUAAUAAAAAGAGUAAAAGCAUUUACUAAAUUUGAUGAAAACUGGAAUCUGACAAUCUCUUUUUAUUUAAUAAAAUUAUGUAUAUUAUGUAUAUCGAUAACAAAGCUUUGACAAGCACCUCAGAUGUUUUAAACAGAAUCAUUAUACGCAUAUCUGAUUCUGUUAGUGUUAAGAGGCUAAGCUGAUUUAUUAGUACAGUAUUGCCUUAUGCUUGGAUUAUUCUUUGGACAUAUUUCUGGAGGGUUUAGUUUCACAGCCUCUUGGACAUCGUAUUUUGUUGACUAGCCAUCAUCUUAACUUGGCCAAGAGCUAUCAGAUGAGCUUGCUGCCCAAGCUCCAUAAAGUACAUCUGUUCUCAAUAGUUGACAACACAGUAAUCCUCCUCUAAAACUCCUUCUUGGGGCAGGCUAUAUCCUCACUUGCCCUGCAAAUUCAUCCUUUAAUUAGUUAGUUCUGCAGAUUCAUUGCCUGCCUUGUACAUUGUUUCAGUAAAACUUCCAGUACUGCAGAAUAUAAGAUGUAAUUAGAGAGAAAGAAGGGAUAUCACAAAUGGCAAAAAGACAAGAUUAUGGAAAUCGGACUAUUUAGCAGCACUGAGAAAAAGAUCCAUCUCAGAUAGCAUAACCCAUAGCUAUUGUCUUGUUUUCCCCAUGAAAGUCAAGGCAUUUGAAUUUCAACUGUUUCUAUUUUCUGUAUGUUUGUACUGUCCUAGAACUCUGUUAAUGAGGACAUCAGGUGAAACUGCAGAGAUGCAGUCACAUGUUCUUUUUUUUCUAUUAUGAUAUGAUUUUGAAUAAGGAAAAGAAGAUGUGGUCACAGAUAACCAUACCUUCAUUAUAGGUAUCUUGUCUGUAAACCAAAUUUCAGCAAAUAAGAAUCAGAUGAGGGAAAAGGAAAGUAACUGCUAGCAAGAGAGAGGGAGUGGAUGUGUUGGGCUUAUUUAUUCAACCUAACAGAGAUUACUUCCUUUUAAGAGUGUGUGAAAAAAUCUAAAUUAACAUUGUAGAAUGGCAGCAGAGAAUUUGCACUGCCUUCCCAUAAAGCCACUACUGUGAGUGCUCUGGAGAUUAGAUUAAUUGUUUUACUAAAGUAACUUCACCAGCUUCACAUUUCUAAUCAUUUUAUGUAAGUUUGUCUUUUAUCUAAGGUGUUUGCACUGUCUCUUUCUACUUUUAUUAAUGAUUUCUCAGAGUGUAUGAUGGUUGAAAACCAACCUGACACAGUGGCUGCAUAAAUCUGGAGAAUAUGUUUUGAAAUCUGUAGUACAGUCCAUGUACUAUUGGGUGUAUAAAUGAAUUUUGUGUAUCAUAACACUCCUAGAAAAACAAGAGGACAAAGAAGAUGGGAUUGCUAAGGGAGACAUUAGAUUUCAUUUCACACUGAUAAUAGUUUAGUGAUAGUGCUGAGCAAAAUGGGAUUCAAUUCUGUAGCACUCCUUUAUUGCAGCUAAGUGAUUUCAAUAUCCAGUCUAAAGUGAUACUGAUAGUGUUCGAUAGAAGGGGGAUGAAAUCUGAGAGCCCUGAAGGCUCAGAGGAGGCCACAAAUCUCAGGCUGACUCAACGGAUCUUUUCAGAGCCAUCCCACCUGACCUUAAGCCAUCUUAUUUAACCUGGAGGCUGCUGCGCCUAGAUAGCCAAGAGCAGAUCUACAUAGCGUGAAGGUAACUGCUGAAUGGAAGGUGAUCUCAGUGUAUGAUUUCCAUAUGACUUUCUUAUGCUAUUCCUGCCCUAUAAGAUAGAGAUGGUUUUGGGGCAUGAGUUGCUUGUGCUUUGCGACUGCACUGGCACUAGACCAGACAGCAAAAGAGCUUUCUAUUAGCAGCACGCAGAUAGACUGAAACCUUCCCCUCCAAUUGAAAGUGUGUGAUAUGAGAGAAGAAAAAAAAUAAUAAUUGCAUUUAUUCAUGUUAAUACUUUUUCAUCCUUGUGGAUUUUAUUUCUAGUAGUAGUUAAUUACACGCAAGAAGACCAAAUGAAUGUAAAGAAACAAUUUUGGGUGCUUGCAAAAUGUACAUUACUAAAACAACCUCCUAAAACAACACAAAACAAAAAAGUUUCUUUCUAUACUUUUUUUCAGUCCUUAAUUUCCCAGUUUCAGGGAAAUACUCUUUUCACGUGUCUAAAGCCAGUCUAUCAGCAUGGGGGCCUUUUGUUCUUUUCUGACUCAGGUACAGCUGCUUCUCUCUCUGGGUUCUCAAACAGAACCCAGCUUUCUUCAAUAUGGGGCACAAGUUUUCACCACGUACUUUAGAGUGAGAUAUUCUGAGAACAUCUUUUGAAGACCUAAGUAUUUGUUUCAGCAGCCCUUUUUCACCCUGGUACUAGGUUAGUAGAGAAUUUAAAAUCCACCCAUAUCCUGCAGUUCACUGUCUCCUUCCUUGAGCUGUUGCAUAUGAAACUCAUAUGCAGGCUGAUAUUAUAAUCUCACCAAUAGAUUUGUGUUCGUAUUAUUACAGAUUCGUGUUUAUAAUUUAUAAUUCCUCUUCUUUUCAACCAGUAGAGCCUUAGCAGUGGAUUUAGAACAAACUCUUGAGGUUAUUUGUUAAAAAGCGGAACCACUUAAUUGAAUGUAAUACUGUGCUAAAACACACUUUUUCUAGGACCUAUACUAGAGCAGCUCCCUGACUGCAAUACUGUGCUACAUGAGUGUACACUAAUGCUCCUGAAGCUUGGCCUGCCUGGACUGUAAUUGAGAGGUUUGGGAAGGCUGUCCUUGAAUUUUACUUGUGUGCCAGAUCAUGACUACAGCCCAGUACUAUGUGUUGGUGAGACUUCCCUGUGCAACCCAUGAGAUAUUCAGUGAAGCUCUCUCAGGUACAGCCAUGAUCAAGUCAAGAACCUGUUGGUAAAAAUCAGGGACCAAAUUAACAAAGGAUGUUGGGUGAUCAAGGUCUACUACAGGCUGCCUGACCAGGAGAGCCUAUGGGUGAAGCCUUCUUGCUUUGGCUACAGGAAGUGUUGUGCUUUCAGACUUUCAUCUUGAUGGGGAAAUUCAACCACUUGUCUGUUUGCUGGGAAAUCCAGUAGACUCCUGGAGUGUGUUGAGACCUCCUGAUCCGGCUAUUGAUAAAAUGACCAGAGAAGAAGUGUUCCUAGACCUAGUGUUCACCAAUUAAGAGGAGCUUGUUAAAGAGGUUAAGGUUGGAGGCAAUUUGAGAUGUAGUGACUGUGCCCUGGUAGAGUUUGUGAUCUUGAGGAAUAUGGGCCUGGCAAAAAAUGAAAUCAGGACUUUGAACUUGUAGCGAAAUUUUUGGCUGUUUAAGGAAUUAUUGAGAUUGCCUUUAGAGAUAAAGGUGCAGAGUAGGAAGUUCUUUAAGGAUGCUUUUCUGAAAGCACAAGAGCUCUCUGUCCAUCAGCAUAGGAAUCAAGCAGAGGAGGCAGAAAAUCAGCAUUGCUGAAGAAAGACCUGCUGGUUAAAAACCUGUGGGAAAAGAGGAACAUGGAAAGGCACUGGAAACGGGGAUAUGUGGCCUGGGAAGAAUACAGGGCAUGCAGAGAUGGGAUCAGGAAAGUCAAGGUGUGGAAUUUGGUGAUGGAUGAGAAAAAUAACAGGAAGUGAUUCUAUAGAUACAUUAGUCAAGAAGAGACAGACCAAGGAGAGUGUAUCCUCCCUCUGAUAAAUGAGAAGUGGAAACUGUCUACAACAGAUAUGGAGUAGACUGAGGUCUUCAACAAGUUUUUUGCCUCAAUCUUCACUGGCAGUCUUCCUACAUCUCUUUAGGCAUAGGACAGGGGAGAAAAGCCAUUCUUUUUCUGGAAGAGGAGAAUAAGUCUGAGAUCACCUCAAGAGGCUGAAUGUGUACAGGUCUAUGGAGCAGAUGACAUGUGUCUCAGAAUCCUGAAGGAAUUGGCUGAUGUGGCUGCCAAGAAGCUCUGCAUCAUAUUUGAAAAGUCUUGACUGUUGGGAAAAGUUCAUGGUGACUGGAAAAAGGGAAUCAUCACUCCCAUUACUAAGAAAUGGAGAAAGAAAGACCUGAGGAACUGUAGGCUGAUGAGCCUUGCCACUGUGCCUUGGAAGAUCAUGGAAUGGAUCCUCCUGGAAGCUAAGGCACGUGCAAGACAAGGAGGUGAUAUGAGAUAGCAUGACUUCACCAAGGGCAGAUAGUGCCUCACCCAUCUGGUGGCCUUCUACUAUUGAAUGACAGCAUCAGUGGACAAACAAAGAGCAACUGAUGUAAUUUACCUGGACUUCUGCAAGGCUUUUGACAUGGUCUCACACCAUGUACUUAUCUCGAAAUUGGACACAGGUGGAUCUAAAGGUUAGAAUAUUCGAUGGAUAAAAAAAUCUGUUGGAUGGUCACAGCUGGAGUGUUGUUGUAGUGACUCUAUGUUCAGGUGGAGGCCAGUUAUAAGUGAUCUCCCAGAGAUCAGUCUUGGGACUGGUGCUCCUCAACAGUGACACAGAUGAUGGAAUUGAGUGCACCUUCAGCAAGCUUGCUGUUGACACCAAGCUGACUGGUGCAAUUGACACAAUAGAAGGAGAGGAUGCCAUCCAGAGAGACCUGAACAAGCUUGAGAAGUGGGCCCACAUGAACCUAAUGAGUUUCUACAAGGCCAAGUGGAAGAAGACACAGCACCAAGAGGAGAAACCCCAAAUCGUCACUGGUCUCUGCAAAUGGAUUUCAACAAUAAGCAGAUACAAUAAGCAGGUCCUCCUUCUCUAUUUUUCCUUUUACAAAAUAGAACUUCAGAAAAUCUCCUUGAAAAAGGAACAGAAACAUGAGGCAGAAACCCAUGGUGUCCUGAGAAGGUUACCUGCUGAGGGAAAAAAAAAAAAAAAAAAAAAAAAAAAGAAGUGGUGGGAGACCUUGAAAGCAAAAUCAUGAAGGGAAAUGUGCUUUGUCCCAAUGGCAGAAGUCACAGCCCAGUCUCUUCUGUUACUGAAUCUGUUGGAUGCAAUGCAGAUGCCACAUAACCAGAUGAAUUUUGAAUCACAGAAUGGCCUGGGUUGGAAGGGACCUCAAGAUCAUGAAUCUCCAACCCCCUUGCCACAAGCAGGGCCACCAACCUCCCGAUUUAAUACUACACCAGGUUCCCCAGGAUCCCAUCCACCCCGGCCUUGAAUAUCUCCAGGGAUGGGGCAUCCACAUGGUUUCGAGCUAAUAAAGAAGGUGCAGCAACACACAGUUGUUUUGGCUUCUCCAUGCCUGGUUUGCUGUCAGUGUGAUCAGAGAGAAGGAAUCCUUCUUGAAGGAUGUCUUCCCAGAGCUGAGGUGUCACAUCUGAAUUAAGUUCACAAAGGACAAACCAAUUCUGAAUUUUGUGCCUGCAGUAUCCCAAACAUGUAUGGACAGUUAGUCUGAAAGUAUAACGGGGACAAAGAAACGGACUUUGCCAAAGAAAUAUCAACAGGACUGUCAAAAAGCUACUUAAAAUGUUUAAGACUGUGAAGACUUGGGGUUUGGACAGAAGUGACUUAGCACAUUAUGGAGGAAGGUGCUUGAACGUGCUUCUGAGGGCGGCUGUUUCCUUUCACUUCUGCCCUGUACCAAAAGAAAUGAAAGAAGAAAGAAAAACAUAGGAAGAAAGAGAAAGAAAGGUGUGAGAGACAGCUUUCAUGUACAACUGAAGGGGUUUCUGUGCUGAAUCAAAAAUGUUCAGUGUUGAAGAGAAUGCUUUGGCUUUUGAAUAUGGAGAGAAGGAGACAUUUCCCAUCACUGUGACUAGUCUUUUUAAAUGGAACUGAAAUGGAACUUUCCAAAAGUCCACCACUUUGCAGCAACUGGUGUCCUCUGCGAGAGGGAGGCACAAUGUUGGAAUUUUUCUAUAGAAGGUAUGUAAAUGCAAAGCAACCUGAGAGUAGCAGUCUCACUUCCAGUAGUCUUCAUCAACGUGAAGUGUGUUUCUCUUCAUUUGCACAAGAACUGCAUAAAUGUAUUUCUGCCUUCAUUUGAAGGAAAUCUUGGCAUCAACCAACUCACGUAAGGCAUAUAUCUCUUCCUGUGCAAUACAUUUUUGUCUUUCCCUCCCAUUUAGUGGUUUCCAGAUCACUCAGUUCCUCUGAAUUGUCCUGUGGCACUCACAAUGGGUCUGUCUUGGAGCUAUCCACUGAGACAGAUGCUUUUAAAACCUUGGAGAAUCAGAUGUCUUCCUGUUAGGGCAAUUUCUGCUUGAGUUAACUAGUCUAUUUCCAUGUUUUUCUCAGCUUAAGGGUCUGCCAAGUGCUAGGAGCCUACAUUUCAUUUAAUUUUAGAAUCUUCAAAAUAUUCAGCAUGCACCAAAAACUAAAGAGUAAUUCACAUCUCACGGUUUCCAUAUAAGUGGAAUGAUGCACUAAAACUGAGAAACAUUUUUUGAAAGUGAUACGAUAAAUUAUUUCUACAGUUUACUAAGAUAUCUGUUAGUCUAGAAUUAGUUCCCUAUAGACUAUAGAUUGACUAUAUUUUCUUUCCUCAAUGAGAUUUAUUUUUCCACAACACAUGCUGUUUGGAACUGUGAUGUAAGUUCAAUUUUUAGCAAGUUUGCAGAUGAAAGUAAAAUCUGAAUCUGUUGCUUGUACCUGAAAAAGCAUCUCUAAUAUAAACAUUGCUGUGUAAGUGAAUAGUGCUAAGAAAGUAUAAGAGAGAAUAUUUAAAGUUACUGUAUUAUAUUAUGGUAGUUAAAGUUUUUCUACGUGUGAACAUCUCCCUUAAGCAAAUAGCGCUGUGAUGAAAAAUGAUUGUUUCAUUUCUGAAUUUCGAGCUGGCAAGCUAUAAUCAUUCUAUCAGAUUUUCUCACAACGUCAGAUUGAAUUUAUUGUUUCCAGUACACUGGGAAGCGUGAGACUUAUGUGAGCCAGUGUGAGAUGAGGUGCCAGAGAAAAAGUUCAAAAUCACUCAGAUGGAACAACUUUUAAGAUGGGCUGUGAUUUUCAGUAUCUAAAAAGAUAAAAUGUUUGCUUCCUGAAAUUAGCAUUUGAAUUUCUCUAUGAAGCAAUGGGAAGGGCUACAUUUAACUUAUCAUGAUGUCCAUUGCUCAGAAAAUUCAAGAACUUCUGGUAGUAUUUUAAGAAACUCGAAUAAAUGUCAAAGAGCAUACAAUUUAUACAAUUGGUGCUCUGAAAGUAAUGUCUCCUCUUUUAUUAUGUUGGCCUAUGACAUCAGAGGUGGAUGCUGGUGGUUUGGCAGUAGAGGUUGAACCUUCUCCAUCACAUGUUGUUUCCAUGUGACAAAUAGCAGCAGAGUGGCAGACUGACAGAAUGGCAUCUGAAGCAAAGGUGUGUCACUGAAUUCCUCCAUGCAGGAGAAAAUGGUCUCCUUCAGCUAAAAAUAUAUCUUUUAUCAAUUAUAAAAAUAAUUUUAAUCUUUAAAAUUUUUAACAAACCUUGCAUAAAUUAAGAAGAAGAAUGAGAAAAAGCAAUGUGAUAUUUCCCAGAGAUCUACAGAGCAAUAUUCUAUACUGUUUCUUUCUUCUGAGCUUUCAAGGAAAAUAAAAUAACAUUGAGGAGAUCCAUUUUCUAUGGAAACCCAUAAACAGGCUAGCCACUACUAAAAUACAAUUGAAAAAAAGAAACAUAGUUUUCCAUUUACAAGAGAUUGUUCAAAAGGCAACUGACUGCAUCAACUUUUCUCUCUCACAGUUCUGAUGACAGUACUAAAUGUAACCUCAAGAACCACUUGGGAUUUUCUUAAUAUUUCUUUGACAAAGAGCUAUUUUUUUUGUCGGCAUAGAAAGUGAAAUACACAUAGGCAGUAGGAGCAUGGAGGAGUUUAUCCUUAUGUUAUUUCUGGUAUAAGCAAGGAGGCUCGCAAGCUUUGUUUGUCUGGAUGCUAUCAGUGAGGAUGGUGGUGGUGGUGGCAACAGCAGCUCCUGACCUGCCAAUCCCUCUCAGAGAGGGACAGCUAUUUCUCAAGCAAACACAUAGUUUACCUGCACUGUAUGUGCAUUAUAUAGUCAACUCCUUCCAAAAUAUCUUACCCAGUAUGCCUAUGUGUGACAGCAGAUGUCCUGUGCAAGGGCAGCUGAGUGUAAUUGGAAAGUUUUGUUUUCUAUCAUAUAGCAUGAUAGUAUGUUUGUGCCUUUGAAAUGUGGGAUAGAAACACAGCAGUCCUGUCCAUGAUCUCUAAAGCUAAAAUCCUAAGUUAGUGUCACCUGUGUUAACUCUUGGCAUUGCACUUACAGCCAAUACUGUACCACUGUUUACAGAGCACACUCCAGUACAGCAUGUACAAUCCAGAGCUGAGAUUUCCUGAGGAGAAAGUGCCCAAUGAUGGAAUUUUACUUUCCAUGUGUGGACGACUGAAGGACACUUUGAAAAGCCUUCUAUCAAUAUUAGAGGAUACUCGAAAGAGUUUAGAAUCUGCUUCCGUAAGUUGCUCAGAAAUCCAUUUAGUUUAAAAUAGAAAGUAACAGAGCAGGAAUGUAAUGCUGGUCAGGUGGAGUAGACUAGCUUCUUGCCUGGUCUUCUUGCUACCUCUGCACUCACUGCAGAAAUUGUGUCUCUUCCUUUGUCCAAAGUCAGAGGAAGGACCAGGCAGGGGGCCAAAGCUCAGUGUAGCUGGCUUGUAUUCACAUAUGAAAUUCAUCUGAUGGCAGCUUUCCUCUGCGGUAAGCUUUGAGAUGAGGAGGAGACAGAUGUGAGAGAACAUGUGAAGGCUGGCACUGAGUUUGAGACGAGGAGCCACAGGCUGUCAGUGGUGCCGCUGAAAAAGUCUCUUGCAGUGGCCCAAAGAGAUGAUAUCUGGAGAGUCUAAGGCUACAAGCUUAAUGCGUGCCUGGUCUCUCCCAAGCUCCAGUCCUUGUUUUAUUGGAAAUUUACUGAAUCACCAUGAAGAUUUGAGUUUAGUAUUAAACAAUGAACAACUGGAAACUAGUAAAUUUAAAACCAUCAAAAAGCUUCAAGAUUCUUCUUGGAUGAAAUCUUUGUUAUCCUGGAUUUACAAAUCCUACUGUAAUUCAGUGACAGUCAAACUUACUUUUUCCCACGUUCUUCAAAGCUAUAAAAAACUUUGCUUGCUACAGAAAUUGCAGAGUUAAAUAUACCUUCAGAUUUCUGUGAAUAUAAGCCAUUUCUCCCUGAAUUUUGUUGGCUAGAUUGAAUUUCUCUCUCUCUUUUUUUUGUUAAGGAAAUACGUAACAUUUGGUAUUAACUUAUUAGGUGUACUUGGUAAGUAAAUGUAUUUUAAAACUUUUUUACAGAAUGUUUCUUUCAAAAUAGCUGUAAGAUACUGAAAUACUUGUUUUAUAACAUCACCUAUCAUGAUUGAAUGGAACGAGGUAAUGUCCAACACUGUCUAUCUGAGUAACUUCAUCCUUCCUCCAAAUUUGCUGAACGAUCAUUUACUGUUUCCUAUUUCAGUUGAUCAAGCAUUUUAUUGAUGAACCUUAUAAAAAACUUAUUCAAAACCAUACUGGAAUUCAAUGACAUCUGAAAAUUGAAUGGCUUUUGUGCAUGGACCACCAUAGGUUGUAUCAGGAAGAUCCUGAUAUAUAACCAAGUAGUCCUCCAAAGACAAACCUCUCUCCAGGAGUAAAAUAUGAGCUACAGUCCUGGAGGGGGUUAACCCUCAGUUCAAGAAUAGUUAUUCAUUCCUGUAAUUGAAUACAAAAGAUGUAGGGAUUGAUUUUCACCUACACCCAAAUUCAUGGCUCCUGUGAGGGUCUAAGCUGCUGACAAAUAAUUUCAGCUUCAGCCAUUGAUUAUGCUUCCAUAGUGAACAUUAGAUAUACACUAAAAUUGAUAUAGCAUGUAUUGCAGGAGUCAUAUAAUAAGUACUCCCCAUUUCUUAGCCAAUCUGUCACUACUCUUAAGCUGUGCCAUGCACAGGAGAUGUAGGAUUUGCCUUCCUAAGGAGGAAAUGGCCAUCAAGUAGAAAAAUGAAUUCACCUUUAUUGUACUGUGGUGAUGUGGUGAAGAUAAUUACUGCAGCUCUAUUCCAUUUGUUUUGAAACACAUAGCCUUUGCCUUUUCAAAUUGCCUUGACCAUAUCACCACUCGUGUAUUUGCAAUGAAAAUCUGACAUCAGAGGACAGAAUAAUAGGAGAAAUCCUCAUUUCAUAUUUACCUUGUUUACUCUCCUGAGUCACUGAAAACACAGUGACCUAGGUCCAUGCUUUUAUACUUCUUUUUACUAUAUAUACACACAUAUAUAAAAAAAUCAGCGUGUGUACUGCCAAACUCUGUAGGUCGCUACUCAUCUUCCCAGGUAUCUUCACACAGCAUAAUUUCUGGUGCUUAGAAUUGAUAGACUGCAAAAAGUAGCACUCCUGUGUUCCCUCUCAUUCAUACUGUGAAUACUCAAUUCUCCAAGAAUUUUGCUGCUGGUUUCUGACCAGCCAAGCCCGUAUCAAAACCAGCCAAAGUCUAAUAAUAAUUUUGCCAAUUAAAACUUGUGUGCUAUUAUUUGGUGGGUUUUUUUUGUUUGCUUUUUAUUUAUUUAUUUUUAUAGCCUAAAGCAUACUGUACUGUCUGCUGUUAAAAUACAAUCCUUUCUGUUUACCUCCUCAUGGCUCACUGAAAAAAAAAAGAUACAUGCUUACAAUGACAGCUUUCAAAAUGUUUUCUCUUUUAUUUCUUCAGAUUUCUCCUCAAAGCUUCAAUUUAAUCAAUAAUUCUAACUAGCUAUCAGAGUACUUAUCUUUAUUUUUCCUAAUAAAAAUGAACAGUUGGAGUAGAAUGUGUCCAAAGCCAUUUUUAUCCAUUCCUUCUUCAUGACUUACCUCUUCUCUUUUGUGUAGCGAAUUUUAGCAUUUCAAAUUUUAAGGUAAAGAAAAAUCCUUUCCUUGAAGAAUUUCUCAUCAAGAGAGCCUUUUUUUUUAAAGUAAGGAUAGCAAAUCCAGCCUGAUGGAAUAAACACCUUAAGACAUUUUCCAUACAUGAAUAUCUCUUUAACAUAAUUAAAAUUCUAGAGAUUAAAUUCUUUGCAGGCUUAACUCAACUGAAAGAAUAAAAGACACUGUGAUAAAACUGUAUGAUUAUUUCGGUCUCCAUGUAGUAUAAAGUAUAAUUCCAUAGGAUUUCUUCAGUGACCCAUGUUCAUAGUGAUCUUAAUUUUCGCUUUGUCAGAAGAGCUUUAUGAUAGGUUAAUUCUUCAGAAAUACUUAUCAUCCUUUACAGCAUAUUUCAUUUAUUUCUCCAUUAUGAAAUGCAAUUUUUGGAAUUAUUAUUCUUUUUAUUAUUAUUGUUAUUACAGAACUUCCAGUGUUGGACAAAUUUACUGCUGGUACCUUCCUGUUUUCAUCCCUUUUCUUCCAAUUCCAGUGCCUAAACAAUUGAUUGUUCACUUGGAAAAACAAUUUGUUUUCCCUAAUGAAAAAAGAUAAGACUGCAUUGCCUAUUUUGUGUGGAACCGGGGCUCCUCCACCUUCUGCAUUUUAUCCUAUUACAUCAUAAGUCUUACUUCUAGAGAGAAAUCAGAAUGAGAGAUUGCAGCCUGUAGAGCUGCUACUUAUAUAGUUGCUACAGCUACUAUCUUAGCAUGCUCAAACAUAUUCCUGAUCUGCUUUUUUUUUUCCUCAGAUUUUUUUACUGAUUAAUGGUGGUUUUCCUGAUAUGUUAGAAUAUCAUUGUUGUAUCCGCAGAAAUACUAUCUCUCAUUUGAAGGGUGGUGGGAUUUUUUUCAACUUAAAUGUUUACUUUGUGCAUAAUAAUACUAAUUUCAGUUCCUAAUUUUCCAGUAAGGCAAUUAGGACACUAAAAGUUCCCAAUCAUGGAAAAAAUAAUUAGUUGCUAGAAGAUAAAGAUUUGCAAAUUUGAACAAAUUUGUAUGUAUUUAUGUAUAUAUGAGUUGGUUUGCAUGCGCAACUUUGAAUUUUACAUAAAUGACAUGAACUCAUUUAAAUAUAUAAAAGUUAAAAUCCAGUAUUUUUCCAUUCAUGUUAUGUGGAAUUUAAUAGCUUUUUAAAAAAGGCAUGCAUUUUCAUGUAUUGAAAUGUAAGCAAAAUUAUGUAUAUUCUUCAUUAACUUUUGCAGUGUGGAUAUGUAAGUGAAACUAAGCACUCAAAAAGCUAAGCAAAGUUUGUCUUGUUUACAUAAAAGUUUUGGUAAAUUACAUUCUCCACCCCACAAAAGAAAAAAAAAAAAAAAAAAAAAGGAAAAAGACAGCAUUAAAAAAAAAAGAAAGAAAAAAGAAAAAAAAAACAACCAAUCUUAUGUAUUUGUGAUUUUGGAUAAAAAAUGCAUUGCUCAAAGACUUUCUUCUCUAUGACUCAAACUUUCCAAAGGUUUUGAGUCAAAUUAUAUCUGAGUGUUCACUUAAAAAAAGGAAAAAAAAAAAACCCAACAAAACAAACAAACAUGCAGAAACAGAACACAGAGUUCUGUAGAAGAUAGCUAUGGUAACCAAAAACCUUUCUGUGAAUGGCCGAAAUACCCAAAUGUUGGACUCACUGGAACAGGAUAUCUGUUGUAAAGGAAAGCUGAUGAGAGAUGUUCAUACUGUUGAAUGUUUCAGUCCCAGAACAUCACUGAAGUUCAAACUGGUAGCAGUGAAAGAGGUAAGAUCUCCAAGACAAGAUCUCAAAGAAAGAAGAAAGUGAUGAGAGUACUUAGCUCUGAUAACUUCAACUCACCUGACUAGCAGAGUUUUGGAAAAUAUUUGUUGGUUGGCAUGAUGAACCUUGAAAAAUCAGGUGGUUAUAUUUUUGAGCUGUGGCUUGUUGUUUUUGCUCUUUGCAGUCAUUUUGCAUUCCUUCAUAGAGCCUGAAAGGGAAAAGAGUUAAGGUAAUACACAUAGAUCAACACUGAGAUUAGAUGUCAAUAUAUUCACUUGACUGUUUCACACAUUAGAAACUUAUAAGAAAACAUUGCUCAGUUGUAACAUUAAGCAGCAGGGUUGAAGUAAAUAAAUGCAGGGUGGGCAGCAAGUAGAUAGAUAACAUGUCUUCAGAAAAAAUUGGGAUAAAGAUUUAAUAUUUUUGCUAAAGCAAAUGUUAAGCCAAAUUAUGCUGUAAUGUGGCUUGUAAAAUAGAAGAUGAAUUACCCUAUAAUACCCAGAACUUCUAGCAUCCACUGAAGGGAAUUCCCUUUCAUUUUGGGCAUGCAUCUUCAAGAAAAACUGUAAAUGAAUAGCGAAAGCCCAAAGAAAUAUGAAAAAAAAAGAAUUUGAGAAAUGCAGUCUAUAAAGAAGCUUGUGAAUUCCCAUUUGUACUAUAGUUAAAAAUAGCAAAAAUAGCAAAAUACAUGAAGGACUGUUGCAAAGAAGGCAGCAAAUGUUGUUUUUUUAUAAUCUGUAUACAGAAGACAAAAUGCAUAAGUUGAAGUUACAUAGUAGAGAAAAGUUUCUAAAUGCAAGGCUUGCGAGACAUCAGAUCUGGAUAAAGAGGCUGCAGAUUAUUCUCACUGAAAGACUUUAAAUACAUAUGGAAAAACAACUGCUAUAGCAGACACAGUCCCAAUUGAUCCAGCCUUGGAAAAUAAGCCUGGUCUCCUGUUAAGAGCCAGCCACUUGACUUAAACAAUACUGUAGUUUAUUAAAUGUGAAGGAGUGAAAAUGACAGAAAACAGAACGGAAUGGUGACAUAUCUCCAGAUAGGUACAAAAAAUGCAGUUUUAAUUAUACCUUUACUGUUUUUUCCUUCUCCAGCCAAAAGUACUUCCUUUCUAAGUUUGGCUGGACAUAAUGUUACCUCUAAUUUGAUUUCAUUUUUAAGAAUCUUUUUUUUUUUUAUAUACACUCAUGUUUGUCAAUUUAAUAUUUAAUAAAUAUGUACAGCUUAAAGGUUUUUAUUGCGAUGCUCCACUUGCUUUAAAUUAACCGAAGUUCAAUGAGUAGCCACUUUCAAAUAUUCAAACAAAACAUGUUUUAAUCUCAAAUUGUAGUUGUGUUGCUAAUAUUUGAUAGUUUUCAUUUUAGUACAGUAUAAUUCUAUUAAGUAGACAUUUGGUUCAACAGUUGACCCCACAUUUACACCAAAUAAUAUGGUGCUAAGUUUACUUAUAAAUGAAUAUAGUAUAAAGCUAACUGUUGUUUCUUCGAGAAAAGAUCUCUACAACAUAAAAUUUCCUCCAAGUCAAAGAAAGUUUAUUUCACUUCUGGUAAUUUUAUUGUGUGUAUACUAGGUGGAAAUACAGACCUGUGAAAAGGCUCAUUUUAGCAGGGGUAACAACUCACAGAAGUUAUUCUGAGGAAUAGGGUGGAAUGAAUCAUAUUCAUAUGUGUGUGUGUUGGAUGGCAAAAAUCAAUGCUUUCUCUUAGCAAAGACACUCUCGGGGAUAGAGAAAUCAGAGCUGCGAAAAACCUCACAAAUUUUGCCUGACAGAUUUUCCAGGCAAACUACACCGCUGGUGCACUGGGAGUGUGCUGACGAUGUCAGUCCCUGUGCCAGUUGGUGCAGCCCUGCUUGUGGCAGCUCGUUUUGGAGCUCUAGGGAGACCAAUAGCUCCCUCCAUUGCCCCAACACACCCAAGAUGCUGGCAAGCAGUCCUGGGGCUGUGAGAAGCCAGAGGCCUGCCCUGUGCAGCUUGGUGGAAGAUACAGUGCACGCGGAGAGAUGAGCCUAAAAAUGCACAGAAAAACAGGAAAAGGCAAAUGUGGAAGGGAAAGCAUUUCAGGGUGAAGGGAAAAAAUUGCUUAAGUCUCUAUCCUAUUAGCAUCAGUAGCACAACCUCUUCUAGCUUCAGCAAGAGACAGAUGUCAUCUUAUCGGCCUGCUUUGGUCCUGUUCCCUGUGAUGCCAGUGCUGUUGGAGGUGAGCAGUGGGCUCACCCCUCUGCAGAUGGCUAACAGUGGUCAGGUUCUGGGAUCCCAAUUACUGCAAGUGUUUAAUGGUUCUCUCUUACAGCAUCCCAAGCUCCCUGAAUCUUUAAUAAUACUCUUAUAAGCAAUAAUCACAUUGGGAAUGGUGUAUUCCUGCAGGCCUGUGCCACAAAAUGUAGCCAUUGUAGCUGCCUUAAAUAGCCCCUGGGGAACAACUGGAAAUUUGUUCUACACAGAAAAUGGCCACUUCUGAAAGAAUGGAAAGCAUCCUUUUCUUUCCCACCAUCACUGGCAAUUAUACCUCUGCCUCUUUAUUUGUCAGAGCUAAUAACAGCGAUGUUGUGACUCAGAAAAGUGCGGAUAAGACGAUGAAAGAUGCACCACCAGCAUGGUGCAGAUGACAACUGAACUGCCUCUGUUCCUUGUUAGUGAAAAUUAUUUGAUGUGAAUGUUGUUGCCUAAUAGGGCCCCAUCUGACUGCAAAUGAUUGUAGCACAGGCAGCAGAAUAAUGGAAAAUUGUUGCAGCAAGAUAGUUGCUAGGAUAAUGCUAGCAGUAAGAAAGGAAGUAAGUGAAAUUGAAAAUUACAUAUUUAACAACCAUAUAAAUGGCAAUAAUUAUUUGGGAACAGAAUUAUCUUAAUUUGCUUCUUCCCAUUGUGGGUCAUUAAUUACAGGAGUAAAUCUGCUAAUCUGAGUGGGAUAAUUAAAUCUUGACAUUGGCAUUGCCUUGCCAGUGUGAGCAAGGGGUUUUCAAAACAUGGAUGAGACAAUAGAAUUCCUCCCAUCAGUAGCAUGUUGAGGUGCCAUGGAAAGCUGUUGAAAGAUGGUACACAGCAGAACAAGGUGGAAGGCUACAGGGAACCACCCAAGUCUUUUCCAGCAAUCCUCUUACCUUUUCAACACUAUGGACCAAGAAGCAAUGCUGCUUUAUGUUAAAAAAAUAAUAAUAAUAAAACAAGAAAGAGCAAUCUCAGGACAAGAAGUUGCUACAGACAUAUGACCCUCAUUUCUAAAGGCAAAUCUGCCUUGCUUUCAUUUUUCAAAACAAAAGGGCAAGUCUGUUUACUUCAUUCUCAUCUGAAGGGCUGACCCUUGUUCUGCUAAACAGGAUAGAGCCUGCACUGAUUCUACCUGGAAAAUAACAUAGCUGAAAAUUAGGUGGUUUACACACACCAAAAUAUGAAGCAAUAAUGAAGUUGGAAGAGCAAGGCUGAGCCUCAAGCUAGAUCCGACUCAUACCAUGAAAUCAUCAGGUUUUGUAAGCUCAAGAGGGUUAGACUUCAUUACCUGAAUGAAAGACUUCACAAAAAGCCUCGGGAGCUGAAGGAGCAAUGGAUACUUCAGCUUGAAAUCAAUACACUGGCGUGCUGCUCGGUUCCUUGGUUCACUUUGUCACUUGGAGGUGAGUACCAGCAGGGUUUGAAUGCUUAUUGCCAUUACAAACCCUGCAGCAAGAGCAUCCCUGCAUCCUGUUAACGCUCAGCUGACCUCUUAGAGAAGAUUACUGGAACUAAAUACCUUGCUGAAGAAAGUGACCAAGCUGUUGAGCCUAUGUCUGCUCGCCCUUGGUCACAUCAAGCUCUGGUCCUUACAGUACAAGGGGACCCCUCUGCUAGCUCAGCUGCUGGGAAGAGUGGGGUCAUGAAGGCUACUGUGUGAUGCUUUCCCAGUAUUGUACCAGCCUGUGAGUUGGAGGUGGACACCCUAAGCUUAAGGUGGACUUAGAGUUGCAUGGUUUUUUUCUGUUUGCUUGCUUGUUUUUGUUUGUUUGCUUUUCAAUAAAUAUGAAUUUUUUCCUUUCUUUAGUUUUUCUGUCUUACCUAUUUUUAACUAUAUAGUUUUGACAUCCACAAAGCCCUGUGGCAAAGAAUUUACCAUUAUAUUACACGUGAGAAAAGGCAUUAUAUGUUUUGGCUUAUUUUGAAAGAUCAAUCUGAUCAUUUAAUUUGCCACCUCCCAGGUUUGUGUAAUGAAAGGUGACGAAAAAGCAAUUUUUGCUGAAUAGCCACACCACUUGCAGAGCUGCAGAAGUCCAUUAUAGCCCUUCUGCCUAUACCAUUUCUAUACAUACCCCAUGCUCCUUCUUUCACUGAGUUAAAAGGUCCUAGUCUAUUUACUCUUUGCUUAUAUGGACAUUUACCACAUUUGUGGCUAUCCCUGUCACACCUAUCAAUACCUUAUUUCAACAAAACGGUAAAGCUGGAAGACAGGAACUGCACACAGCACUCAUUAUGUGAGAGCACCAUUUAUCAGCACUGGUGUUGCCUGCCAUUUUAUCAUUCUUCUGGCUUCCUCCUAGCUGAUGAGAAGAGUUUGACUCAUUCUCACUCACAAUCAUGCUGCUAGCAUAGUUAUUGAUGCUAAGUUUAAAAGCAUGCAUUUUAGAUGAGAUCUCUCAUUACAUUUUAUUUCUUACUGGAGGAAUCAUUAGAAUGAGUGAACUUACACCAUUUAUACCUUUUCUACAUCAAGUCUAGAUGCUGGAUUGAAGUAAAGUACCCAUGAGUGUGCCGCACUCAUUGCAGGCACUAAUGCUGUUUAUCUGCUCUUUGCAGGCUGCGCUGUACUCAAGGUGACUCUCACAGAUACCUACAUGCAUAAAUAUUACACUAACCACUAUACCUCAAGAUAUACAUAAUGCAUUACUUAGUCGAAGCAGCAGCAUGAGGCAAUGCAUUACACAAGGUACUGACACUGAAACAGACUCAGGGCUCGUACCAGCACUGAGAGUGCUUAAUGGGGGCCUGCUCCUGACAGGCAGCAUCACUCAGCCUCUCACAAAAGAGGGCUAAGGUACUUACCCCAGAAAUUGGAAUGACUUUCUCCAUAGCAUAGAUCAGCUACAGCGCUGCUCGUUCUUGUAGCAUGAUUCAGUGUCUGAAGAAAAAGGAGUUGCUGCUGCUCACAAUGAGGCGAAUGAAUAUUUUGCCACUGGAUUCAGCGAAGAUAGAGAUCUACUUCUUGUGCUUUUCUGUAAGGAGUAAAUCAAACUGAUGUCGUUAGUGAAACAAUACACAUAACCCAUUUUCUGGGACUCUUACCAUGCACUAUUAGAUGCUCAGCUGUGGAUCACACACUGCGUGGGGUACUUGGGAGGGAGCUGCAGCUACAGUGGGUCCGCAGUGCAGUAGCUUGGUUUGAUCUCUGAAACUCAGCCCAGAAACUCCAGUGCCCUCAUUGUCCUACUCAAAGCUCCUCAUGCUUCAUAGGUACCACUGCUUGGGGAUUUUCACUGCUUCUGUUCUUUCAGCUUUUCUAGUUCUUCCUUUUUAUGUGUACUAGUAUGGUGACCAGCAAUUACUUAUGUUGUGGUUUUGUGAUUUCUGUUAUUGGUAUUCCACAUCUUAACAUCAUGUAGUGCACUGGGAGAUAGAGUUAAUGCUACAGUUCCAUGGAUUGCCAAUAGUUCUGGGUGCCUGUCUCAGAAGAGAAGAGAUGAACUACAGCUCCCAGAAGACUUCAUUAUUCCUUUUCUGUUUUUCAUUUAGAGAGAAAGAUAAAACUUUGGGAGUCACAAGACUGCUCUGUUUUUCUGCUUCAAUUCCAAUUGAAUUGUAUUAUAUUAUUUCACAUUCCGCUAUCAUAUUUAAUAAAUUAGUUUUUUAAAAAGCUAAUUAAAAACAAAACAAAACAACAAAACAAAACAAAA